AUGUAUGUGUGUAUGUGCGUGUAUGUGUAUGCAUGUAUGUAUGUACGUGUAUGUACACAUACACAUACAUACAAA